rfam:Capsicum annuum cultivar Zunla-1 chromosome 10, whole genome shotgun sequence
UGAUGAUGAUGAGGACAAUUUCUGGGCAUUCCUUUGAAUAUCUCCCAAGCUUGGCAAAGAUUUUCUCUAUCUUUCUAUCUAAAACUCAAGAUUUCACUCCUCAAUCA